AUUGAACGCUGGCGGCAGGCCUAACACAUGCAAGUCGAACGGUAACAGGAAGAAGCUUGCUUUUUUGCUGACGAGUGGCGGACGGGUGAGUAAUGUCUGGGAAACUGCCUGAUGGAGGGGGAUAACUACUGGAAACGGUAGCUAAUACCGCAUAACGUCGCAAGACCAAAGAGGGGGACCUUCGGGCCUCUUGCCUUCGGAUGAGCCCAGAUGGGAUUAGCUAGUAGGUGGGGUAACGGCUCACCUAGGCGACGAUCCCUAGCUGGUCUGAGAGGAUGACCAGCCACACUGGAACUGAGACACGGUCCAGACUCCUACGGGAGGCAGCAGUGGGGAAUAUUGCACAAUGGGCGCAAGCCUGAUGCAGCCAUGCCGCGUGUAUGAAGAAGGCCUUCGGGUUGUAAAGUACUUUCAGCGGGGAGGAAGGGAGUAAAGUUAAUACCUUUGCUCAUUGACGUUACCCGCAGAAGAAGCACCGGCUAACUCCGUG
rnacentral:rRNA from 1 species